AUUCUGGUGAUGAGAAUUAUGAACACUACAUGGCUGGUCCUGCCGUAUUUCAUGAGCUGUGAAACAGAAUGAAUUGGGACAUGCCUACCUUGCUUUCUGCAAUGGGAACAAUAAUUGAAGAUUGCUGCUGGCAUUCACGGAACAGCUUGUCACAGUGGUACUGGGCUAGGGAAACAAGCACUGUGCGCUGGGAUUGCAUAGUGAUGUAUGUAUGAGAUGAUGAGCAGUGGCUGCAGAACUUUUGGAUGCGCAAAGUCACCUUCCUGGAACAGUAUGCAGAGCUUGCCCCAGCUCUGUGGCACACGGAUACCAAAAUGAAAGCUGCCCUCAUCGUGAAAAAGUGAGUGGCAAUCACUGUGGAAGCUGGAAACUUUAGACUGCUGUUGGUCAGUCAUGAAUCAGUUUGGAGUUCGAAAGUCCACUGUGGGGAUGUGUGGUGAUGCAAGUGUGCAGGGCCAAUAAUCACCUCCUGCUACAAAGGACUGUGACUCUUGGUAAUGUACAGGAAAUAACAGAUGGCUUUGAGACAAUGGGAUUCCCUAACUGUGAACAGAAGAUUCCAAUGGGGGAAGUGGAAAUAUGCCCAUAGUGAUCCUGGGAGAUCCCGCCUACCCCUUGCUCCCAUGACUCAUGGAGGCUUGCACCAGGAAGCUGGACAGCAGCAAGAAGAGCUUCAACAACAGGCUCAGCAGGUGCCAAAUGACCUUUGAAUGUGCCUUUUGCUGAUUAAAUGGGCGCUAGAGAUGUCUUUUUGGCUGGAUAGACCUCAAUGAAGAAAAUAUUCUGAUGGUCAUUGCAGUCUGCUGUACUCUACCUAAUAUUUGCGAAUCAAAGGGGGAUAAGUUUCUCCAGGGGUAGACCGCUGAGGCUGAUGUAUCUGGUUGUUCAAAAUCAGCAGCCAGCCUAAGGGCAAUUAGAGGGGCACAGCAGGAGGCUGUUUGAAUUAGGGAGGCUUUGAAGGCGCAUUUUGAUGAUGAUUCCCAGUAAUGUGACUUUAUAUGAUGCAUUUGGCCAGGCAAUGCUUACUUGCCACCUGGAAUUACUCCUGCAGUGUUUGCUUCCUGAGCAUUAAUUGCAAGGAGCAAAUAUUCCUACCUAUAGCCAUUGUGUUUGAUUGUUAGCGCCGAGUGAUAUCUGUAUGCAUGUCACAAAUAAAGACUCAUUUUAUU